rnacentral:rRNA from 1 species
AUGAACGCUGGCGGCGUGCCUCAUACAUGCAAGUCGAGCGAACAGACGAGGAGCUUGCUCCUCUGACGUUAGCGGCGGACGGGUGAGUAACACGUGGAUAACCUACCUAUAAGACUGGGAUAACUUCGGGAAACCGGAGCUAAUACCGGAUAAUAUAUUGAACCGCAUGGUUCAAUAGUUAAAGACGGUUUUGCUGUCACUUAUAGAUGGAUCCGCGCCGCAUUAGCUAGUUGGUAAGGUAACGGCUUACCAAGGCAACGAUGCGUAGCCGACCUGAGAGGGUGAUCGGCCACACUGGAACUGAGACACGGUCCAGACUCCUACGGGAGGCAGCAGUAGGGAAUCUUCCGCAAUGGGCGAAAGCCUGACGGAGCAACGCCGCGUGAGUGAUGAAGGUCUUCGGAUCGUAAAACUCUGUUAUUAGGGAAGAACAAAUGUGUAAGUAACUAUGCACGUCUUGACGGUACCUAAUCAGAAAGCCACGGCUAACUACGUG